CUCCGAUCGUCUUCCGUGCAAUGAAGAUUUUGGACCUCCACUGAGAUGAGGCCGACUCUGUUAGCCAUAAUGUCAGCCGCUCUCUGUCCACAUUGAGGACAUUUGGCAUGUAGCCCCUGGAGUACACUGCUCAGCACACAAUUCCCACAACUGCACAAAUUCAUAUGAGUCAACAGCAGUGUCGCCUCCAAUGCUAGUUGGCAGAAUGCGCAAUUGAAAAGUCACUGUUGGGAUGCCGUAGUAUUGGCCAUCUCCCCAAAGAUGGGUGGAGUUCGCGACCUUUAAAUUGUCACA